rnacentral:lncRNA from 1 species
ACCUCCACUCUAUCUCUCUCAAUCUAGUAGAAACUAGAAGAUCUAUUUCUACUUUACAUUGGUUGCUAAGCCUAAAAAGAAAUAUUAUUUAGAGAAGAGGUUUUCCUUCGAGGGCACCCCUCAAUCUCUAUGAUAAUUUCUUGUCUCUUCCAGGGGCCAGGGGGCCUUGCUUAUAUAGUCCUCCCCUUCUAUGCGUUUUUGGGUCGAUAGGCGAGGUGGUACUAUGUUUUUCUUGAUCCAAUAGGUCGGUGGAAUAUCCCGAGCGAAAGAGUCCUGAUUUGGCUCCAACAGGGGGGCGGGCGCCCAGGCUACGAGGGCGGGCGCCCUGGGCCUGGCCCCUUUCGGGCUCCGCUUCCUUCCCGUGGCUUCUGGAGUCUUCUAGAUGGUAGAAAAUUGCGCGGUGGGUUGAUAUCUCUAUGUAAUCCCGACAUGUGGGCCUUUCUUCCUUAUUUCAUGAUAACCCCCUGCAGAAAUAGACAAACACCAAAACUCGUGGAAUUCUGUCAAAUAAAACCCUAAGUCUAGAUGUUGAUUUCAUUUGGAUCCUUUUCUUUGUUCAUUUGAUAAUUAAAUUUGAUACUUAAGGACCGUCAACAAACUCCCCCAAGCUUACCUCUUGCUCGUCCCUGAGCAAGGAUGAACUCAAGAGUUUCUGCAGUGGUUUCAUUUCUUAGAAGUACACACGCAUUUAAGCAAGAUCUCAUCUCUGAGUUAGAAUAAACUGUUAAGACAUAAAACUUACUUACUUUACCUACACCAUAGGACUUGUAACCGUCACUUCUGUCUUGAGUGGUUAAAAGAUAGCACAGUCUAGCCAAGUGCCAUGUCUCUUAUUCUUGAUUAGCUAUAGCUCUGGGGUUUUUGGAGAUUUUCAAAUAAAACUCAGAGAUUCCUUAUAUGACUCUCUCAGAUCUCUCUUUUGUGGUAUUUUUGGAUCCUUACCAAGGCAGUGAUGGUAUAUGCCUUCUCUCAAGAUAUGUAGUAUUUGUGGUAUGAAGCAUAGUGACAUUGUCUUCUCUCUCACCCUACUCUAAUAAGGCUUUAAUAUCUGAAGCUCAUAGGUGGGAGAUAAAGUAUACAUACUUACAAGACAUUUAUUGCAUAGUCAAACCAUGGAUCCAAAGUAACAAAUCAAUAAGCCAAAUCAAGAUGUGCAUGUGUGGCGAAUGAAUGGUGUAUGGUGAUGAUGGUGAUAACAAUGGUGAAAACAAUGGAGGUGGAAGUCUAAUUCUACUUUGCUCUUUGAGGGGAUACAUACCUUCCUUGCUUUUUGAAACUUUAUGAGGAGAAUGAGAUGCUCAUCUUUUUCUUUUCUCUCAGGUGGGUAUCUUGUACCCCUAAUUUCUAAUGUCGGACACUUGUCCAUUUUUACAUCUCGUCUCACUUUUUCUUUUCUUUCGAGGUUCCGAGCACUUGCUCCUUUUUAUUUCCUCGUAUUUCUUUUUUUUCUCUUCUUUUUUUUCAGAGCAUUCAUCUUUUGAGAUAAUAUAGCAAGUGGUAGUAACAAGAUAACUUGAGCAUUUAUUUCACAAGGGGAAACAGAAAUAUUUUUGGUUAUUCUCUCCCGGAUUAGGAGUAGAAUACUUUUGGGUGGUUUUGGAGAUGGAAAUGAGUGGAUAUAUGUGGAUGGUACUUCCGGAGUAGAAGUAGCAUGUAUGAGUGAACGUGCAAGUGAAUCUUGAUUUAACCACAUGACAAGCUCCUAAGGGUCUACACAGCUUGACCACACUCAAUGCUCAAAAGGAGUAAAUAGUAAAUGUGUGGCUCAAGGUCUAGCAAGCAUGUAUAUAUGGCUGUGGUAGGAAUUUAAACUCUCAUCAUACAGGAACUCAUCAUGUGUUAUUUUAAAGAUUUUUCAAAGAUAAAAUUCUCCAGAAUUCUAGCAUCUCUAGGAACAGAUGAACAGCAGCUCAACCUUCCCAUAUCGUAUCCGUUAACAACUUAGACUUCAGAUCAAGUUUUCAUCCCACAAGUUUAGGUCUAGAGCAAGCCUUAAAUUAUAACAGUUAUAUCUAAAUUUGAGAGAGAACUUCAAAUUUGCAAAUUAGGCAGAGCAACUAUUCAUCAUAUCCAUGCUUAAGUUUUAUUAGAUACCGAUUAGCAUAGCCACUUUAUUUAUUUAUUAAACACACUAAGCAAAAUAUAUAUAAGCAUAAAAUCUUUAUUUGGUUUUUCAUAGUUAUGUGUAUUUAUAUUCUAAUAUAGUAUAAGUAUAAAGAUAGAUAGAAAUACUUAUCGAGAUAAAUGGGGGUGCUCUCCCCCAAGCUGAAUUUUGACGUAAUUUCUCUUGAUGUAGCUAGCAGGUGGCAGAGGUGUGUUUGAAAGUCAGCAGUAUUUUGACAGCGAUUAGAAUGUCCUCCGUCUGCUAGUCUUCUUGAUUCUUAAAUUCUGUGGAGCUCAAAUAGACAACAAAGCUUGUGGAACUGGUUAAGUGUUAGCAUAAAUAUCUAGCCUUUAUCAUGUUGAGACUCCUUAAUAAAUAUUACUCCCUGUUUUUUUAUUUUUGUUUUUAUAAAGCAGAAAAAUAUUUAUUUUAUUUUUAUGCCACCACAGUGAAUGUACUUAUGGGUUUUAUGCCACUCGUCUACUCACAUGGGGCUUACAGUUUUUUUCACAUUUUUAUUUUCUUUCUAGGAUAAUACGAACAUGAUUAACUAAGUAAACUAUUUGAAAUAAUUAAAAGGGAAAGGAUAACUACCAAGUUUACCUCUUGGCAAGGCGUUCGGUGUUUUUAAGUCCUCCGAGCGGGACUCUCCAUUUUCUUAAUCGUCCUGGGAUUCACUGGAUGACGUAGUCGGUGAUUCCGGUGGCGCCUCCUCUUCGUGUGUAACUAUAUUCUCUCUCCACACCUGACUCGGUGCUACGGUCUCCUCAGGACAGUUAUGUUCAAGUCGUAUGUCUUCAGUCCUUAUCACUUCUCCUUCGUAGUCUACCCAUCCGUCCUUGAUGAUUUGCCUCCUCUGGUUGCGGUUGCGAUGUCUUCUUCUUGUCCUGACCUGCUUAGAGUCUUCAACUAUAUAGUUAGGGUCAGUAAAACAGCGGCAUACCUUCUCAGAGGAGAAGUGUAUGUGGACUUCUCCGGUUCCAAUAUAGAUGAUGGCUUUGAUAGUGCUGAGGAUCUGUCUUCCAAGGAUGGUGGGUGGAUCAUAUUCAUCUUCUCCCAUGUCAAUAACUUGAAAGUCAUCUAUAGCGGAAUGUAUAUUGGUUGUAGGGGCAUGGUUUCAUGCAGGAGCUGAUAAGUGACUACGGCCAUUAUGUUGACGUCAGAUCCGGUGUCGUAGAGUGUCUUCGGAAAAGAGUAUAUGUUGUUUGUGCAUUCGAUUCUUGGAACACCAGGGUCGUCCUUCUUGAUCAAGAAAGGUGACUUGAGUCGACGAUCUUGACCUCCUUGAGCUGCAGUGACCAUCUUAGCUGACUCGGUCCACAUUUGCUUGUUCCUGUUCCUCCUGUUGGUCCUCUUCCUUGGUUCAUGUCGGGAUUGCUCUGAAAUUUGUGGUCUUGUUCUUGAAGGAAAGUCUCCUUCUCUCCCUUGAUGUAGAAACUGAUCUUGGCAGUAUUAGCGUAGAUGACAGCUCUGGUGUUUAGGAAUGGCCUCCCUAAGAUGAUGGGUGCCCUCGCCUCAGUACCAGUCUCUAUCACCAUGAAGUCUGCUAGAGCAUACAAGGUACCAACUAGGACGCAGAGGUUCUUCAAUAUUUCCUUUUGGAAACUGAGUGUCCGAUCUGCAACCUUGGGCAUAAUGUUGACGCUCGAGCCAAAGUCGGAGAGUGCUUCUGGGAAGUCCACCAUGCCGAUGGAGAUCGGGAUGACGGGACGUCCUAGAUCACCUCUCUGAGUAAUUAGGCCUCUGUUGAUUCCAACCUUGAUGUUGUUGAGGACGGUUGUAGUAAUAGUUGUUAUUGUUGUUGAUGUAGUUCACGUCCUCAAGCAUCUUAGGGCAGUGAUUGCCUGAGCGUCCAGUAUCUCCAGUGUGUUUGUGCUCGUAGAUCCUAGUUCUUCACUUGGUGGAAUCUGGGAGUUGUAAAACUCCUUCAAAUUAUGCUCGAAGUGUUCCUGCUCAUAGAGACAAGGUAGAGAUCAAGUGCAUGGGCCCUGUUGGUGGAAAACACCAACAGAACCAAAAGUGUAUUUGUUCCUCUCUAACCUUAAGAAUAGUGAGCAAGACAAAGUUGAUGGAUCAUGAGUGUAGCAUUUGUCAGAUCAGAUGGCUCAACCUAAUGGAAAGAUAAUCUAUCUAUAUUUAUGUUUUGUUUAUAUCUUCCAAAGAUUGGAUGUGCAAUACUUUAGCUUAUAUGAUUAGGAGUGUGGGGUCACGAAGGUAGUACUAAGAACAAAGAUUAAAGGACUAAACAUGUUGAAUUAAUUGAGUUGGUUAAUUUGGAGUUAUAAAUCAUACAUGUUUGUCUCUUUAUUUAUGUGAAUGCCAGAACCAAGGAGGAGCUUAUAAAAGUGUUAGUCAAGUACCUUAAGAUGUUACCUUACUUGAAGAGUGAUGGUACAGUAUCACCUUGUGGAAGCUUUCCUUUCUUAGCGGUUGUGCAUCGUGUUUGUGGCACCCUCCAUGAAUCAUCUCUUAUGAGCUACGUCUUUCUUGUGCAAAUUGUUAAACUUCAUGUGUCACUUUCUUCAUCUCUAAUGAGUUUGCAUCUCAGGACUUCCCAGGUUGUUAUUGAAAGUUUUCCUACAGGGGUUAGUCCAACAAAAUAUACCAAUAUCUACUCAAGUAGUUUUUAGUUCAGUAACCAAACUAGACUCCAUGUCUAAUCAGAUUAAGGAAGGCUAUUUAACCUAAGCACCACGCUUAAUUUAAAUGCCAUUGGAAGUGUGACCAGUACUUCCAAACUAACACUUACUAGGAUAAACAAAGGUAGCAUGAUGGCUUUUAUAGAGAUCUACUCAAGUGGAGAUGAAGUAGUGUGAUUAGUAUUUAACAAAUGGAGCAUGUCUCAAAGGUAAGGACAACCAACAUAGCAACAUGGCAAAGGAUGUUUUAUGUAAAGUACUCCUCCAAGCUUGAAUUUUGCAAAAUUCAAUAUUGAAUGAAUUUAAUUUAAUGUUGCAUGAUGAUUGGUUGGGCAUACCUUGCGCUUGUCAUUCAUCCGAUCUUCUUGCUCCAAUCCUAGAAAGGUUAGUGACAAGAAUACCCGAAGAAAUAUUUCUACAAUUAUCUUUAUAUGCUCAAUACCCAAGGCAAUGUUGCAAAUAAUUAGAAGUGCUUGUUUUAGGACACUAAGCUUGUCCUUGGGGAACCAUCAAUUAACUCAACGAGAUCUGCAAUAUUUAUUAUAGACAUAUGCAUCGACAACCACCCUUUUAAAGUUUUUAUAAAUAGAAAAGAAGAGGGGGUUGGAGAUCUCAAAUGUGGUAAGGAUGGAGAGACAAAUUGAUUGGAGAGAUGUUUUAUAUGAGCAAGGACUGGGUGAGGUAUUUAUGAAAUAACUUCCAUGCUCACUGUUGUUUCUCUCAUUCUCAAACUCCAAGGAUGAUUCUUCAUGAAUGUUUAAAAUUCCUCUAGGAUUGUCUCUCAAGUUUGUUUUAUCUAUCCAUUCAAUGGUGACAGCACAUGGAUUUUUAAUGCCCUCUAGCCAUUGAUGUUGCUCUUCUCGAUCCUCCUUGUUAUGCAUGGGAUGUCUAGAGAGAUUCAUAUGAUUAUCGGGAGGUUUAAGAGAAAGAGCAUAGUAGAAUUUAUUAAGCUCAAGGAAGGUGUGGAUAGCCGAAUUAUGGGUUUGAAAUGUUUGGAAAUUGGCUAUUGAAACUUCCUUUCCUUGUCUGGGAGAUGAUUCCUUCUCUAUUUCUAAGAUUUUUCUAUGAAGACUAGUACAAGAAGGAUGUCCACGAAUGAAGACAUACCUUCCUUUACUAAUAGAUAAAGAAAGAAGGACUCUAGAAAAGGUUAUAUGAUUAAGACCAAUGUGAAAAUAUUUAGGAAAAACAUGGUCUUGUAGGGCUAGGUCUAAACCAGAAUUUAUAAAAGGAUUAAAAGAUUCCCUAGGUGUAGCUAAAAGUGCAUUAUCUUCUUGAUUAAAAGAUAGGACCUCGGCUAUAGAAAAGGGUUGGUUUUGACCUAUUGCAAUCAACUCCGGACACAGAUCAUAAUUAGGGGCAGGACGUGUUGACUCCCAUGGUCUAUGGCUGGUCUCCGAAGGUGCAAAGAAUUCAAUAAUAGGUAUGGACUUUAAGUUAUCCAUAAAGAUAAAAAGAUAAAAGAAUAAAAGUAUAAAAGUAUAAUACAAGAUAAUAGCAAGACUCAAAGUUAUCUCAGCAAACUGUCUUUCUCCCCGGCAACGGUGCCAGAAAUGCUUGUUGAUAUUUGGUAACGCAAAUAGAAAAUGAUCCGCAAGCGCACGGAUAUCGGUGAGCAUUUCACCCGAGAGGUUAUCCAGAGUUAUCGUAUUUAUAUUUUUACCACUGGGAGAAAGGGUGCAUCUGACUAACCAAAUCUAUUGCUACUACCCCUUUAGGCUACAAAGAAUGUCUCUCGAUGUGAGUGAUGUAUAGAGAAGACUGCAACCGUAGUCUCGUUCUAACCUUGGUAAGGAUGAUCUACUGUUCUAUUGGGGAGGCUCACGGAAUCUAGACAACAAAAAGGAGGUUCGACCUGCACCUAUAAACCUACCCGUCCUGCUAACGAGAUGUGAUCUGCAAAGGUAACUCGGAAAUGUCACGUUCCUUGCUACUACCACGGUCCAGCUAGUCAGGGGAUAUCUAUGAGUACCCUAGCCUAAACACCACGUUUACGCUAACAAGUGAUUACUCUAAUACUCAACUGGAAGAGGAUUAAAGUAAACUCAUAAACCAAAGAACAAUAAAACAAGAACUUACUAGUAUUAGAAGUCGAAUUACUGAAGAAUCUUAGAAGCAAGCCUCGGGUUAGGAGACUUGAUCCCGUAGGUACAACUCGGAGUAGACACCGACAGGCCGGCCUUCCUCCGAUCCACACCUCCACUCUAUCUCUCUCAAUCUAGUAGAAACUAGAAGAUCUAUUUCUACUUUACAUUGGUUGCUAAGCCUAAAAAGAAAUAUUAUUUAGAGAAGAGGUUUUCCUUCGAGGGCACCCUUCAAUCUCUAUGAUAAUUUCUUGUCUCUUCCAGGGGCCAGGGGGCCUUGCUUAUAUAGUCCUCCCCUUCUAUGCGUUUUUGGGUCGAUAGGCGAGGUGGUACUAUGUUUUUCUUGAUCCAAUAGGUCGGUGGAAUAUCCCGAGCGAAAGAGUCCUGAUUUGGCUCCAACAGGGGGGCGGGCGCCCAGGCUACCAGGGCGGGCGCCCUGGGCCUGGCCCCUUUCGGGCUCCGCUUCCUUCCCGUGGCUUCUGGAGUCUUCUAGAUGGUAGAAAAUUGUGCGGUGGGUUGAUAUCUCUAUGUAAUCCCGACAUGUGGGCCUUUCUUCCUUAUUUCAUGAUAACCCCAUGCAGAAAUAGACAAACACCAAAACUCGUGGAAUUCUGUCAGAUAAAACCCUAAGUCUAGAUGUUGAUUUCAUUUGGAUCCUUUUCUUUGUUUAUUUGAUAAUUAAAUUUGAUACUUAAGGACCGUCAACAAGAGAUCAAGCCCAAACUAGAAAAUUUACUAGCCUUAUUACAACAAGACACGGCUCAGCUAGUGGAUGACUCUGAUCAGGCCAAGGCUAUCUUGAAGACUCUCCGCGGCUAGAUUCCAGCCGAUACUGAGGAGAUGCUUUUUCAAGCUGCCCACCGGGAGAGCCGCCAACUUCAGUACCAAAAGGCCGUUCAGCGCCUUGCCGAUAGAGCCACUCAUACCUAGCUCAAAGAGGAGAUUCUACAAGUGAAGCACGCCACCGAUGAGAAGCAUAAGAGCAUCGGCAUUUUGCAUUCCUCAGGUGUCGAACUAAAACAGAGAAUCUUUGAUCUAUCGGCAAAGAGAGAGGCUCUGCUCGCUGAACUCAAACAAGUGGAGGAAGCUUUGACCCAGGCCCGACAGGAAGAAAGUCAACUGCCUAACGUGCUCAGAAAUCUUUAGCAAGAGAGGGAUGCCCAAGCUCGCAAGGCACUGCAAAUGAAGAAGAAACUGAAACUAGUAGGUUCGGCUGAUGAAGACACCAAAGAGAUAGAAGAAGCUAAUUAGAUCCGUCUACGUGCGAUAUUGGCCAUCCAAGCUCUGCUAAAUAUGUGAACUUCUCCAUCAGCAGCAUGUUUCGUUGGUUCUUUUGAGAACACUAGCAUUUGAUCCAGCCGAUAGGAUUGUUAUCGGCACUUAAUCUCCUUAUGCGUUGAUUCAAAUACACUAAUAUUUUGUCCAGCCGAUAGGAUUGUUAUCGGCACUUAAACGUUUCAUGCAUCGACCAAGAUACUAGGAUAGUAUCUUUUUAAGUAUUUUCCGUUUAAUGCUUUGGGAAAUUCAACUCCUUCGAGAGUCUCCAAAAUAUAUGCAUUGCCAGGAGCAGAUCGACUUAUCCGAUAAGGACCUUCCCAAUUAGGAGACCAUUUUCCAAAUUUUGAACUUUUAGUCCCAAUCGGUAGAAUCAAUUUCCAAACUAAAUCUCCAUCGACAAACUCUUUAGCUUUUACUUUCUUAUCAUACCACUUAGCUACUCUCUUUUUAUUCUCCUCUAUGCUGAUCAAAGCUUUCAACCGAUGCCCUGCCAAAUCCUCCAACUCAUCUUUCAUCAAAAUAGUAUAAUCAUCGGCAGUCAACUGAUCUUGAGAAAACAUUCACCUAGAACCAGUUUUAACCUCCCAAGGUAGUACCACAUCAUGCCCAUAUACCAAUUGAUAAGGUGACACUUUGGUUGCACCAUGACAUGCCAUCCGGUACGACCACAAGACUUCAUUUGACAGUGUAUGCCAUCGCCUAGGAUUUUCAUCAUUUUUUCACUUGAUGAGCUUAAUAAUUCCUUUGUUAGAAGCCUCAGCCUGCCGAUUAACUUGAGCAUAAUAAGGAGAAGAGUUUAACACUUUAAUCCCCAUACCAAUUGCGAAUUAAUCAAACUCCCUAAAUGUAAACAUGGUACCCUGAUCGGUAGUGAUUGUUUGAGGAAUACAAAAUUAGUAAACAAUAUGCUCCUUCACAAAAUCAAUCAUAUUAGCCGAUGUCACUUUCUUCAAAGGAAUAGCCUCAACCCACUUGGUGAAAUAAUCAGUGGCAACAAGGAUAAACUUAUGCCCUUUACUCGAUGGCGGAUAAAUUUGACCGAUGAGAUCAAUAGCCCAGCCCCAGAAUGGCCAAGGUUUAAUAAUAGGAUUCAUAGCUGAUGCGGGCGCCCUUUGAAUAUUUCCAAACUUCUGACAUCCUUGGCGUCCUUUGAAAUAUUUGAAGCAAUCCUCAAGAAUAGUCGGCCAGUAAUAUCCAUUCCUUCUAAUCAUCCACUUCAUUUUAAAAGUUGACUGAUGUGCUCCAUACACUCCUUCAUGGAUUUCACCCAUCAAAGUUUUGGAUUCAUCAUCACCAAGACAUUGAAGCAGAAUUCCGUCCACAGUACGAUAAUACAGUUCAUCAUCAAGGAGCACAUACUUGGUAGCUUGAAAUCUAAUAUGUCUUUCAACUUUCUUGGAGGGAUCUCUUAGGUAAUUAACAAUUUCUUUUCUCCGAUCAUCGACACUGAUUGCCGAACACCCCCAAGAUGGGUUGAUACCCCAAAGCAUGUUGAGCCAACCGAUUAGCUUCCUCAUUAUGUAAUCGGGGAAUAUGUUCUAAAUGGAAAUCCUUAAAUUCCUUUAAUAACUGUAAACAUCUUUCAUAAUAAGAUAUCUAAAUCUCACUUCGGCAUUCAUAAACCCAAGCCAACUGAUUUAUAACAAGUAUAGAAUCACCGAAGAUUUCAACUACAUCAGCAUGAACUCCCCUCAACAACUCUAAUCCUUUGACCAAAGCUUGGUACUUAGCCUGAUUAUUUAUUGAUGUGGCAACAAUCGGCAAAGAAAAUUCAUACUUCUUUCCUCGAGGAGAAAUCGACACUAUACCGAUGCCUGCCCCCUGAUGACACGUGGACCCAUCAAAGAAAAGCGCCCAAGGAGCAACUUCCAAAGAAUUCACCAAACCGCAAUGUUGAGUAACAAAAUUGGUCAUAAUUUGUCCCUUGACCGCUUUAGCCGAUUCAUAAUGUAGGUCAAACUCUGACAAUGCCAAUAUCCAUUUGUCGAUUCUACCACUCAUAAUCAGCAUUGACAACAUGUAUGUGACUACGUCAUCUUUGCAUAUAAUAAUACACUCGGCCGAUAGCAAAUAAUGCCUUAGUUUAGUACAAGAAAAGUACAGACAUAAGCAUAAUUUUUCAAUAGCCGAAUACCUCGUCUCAGCAUCUACCAAUCUCCUACUUAAAUAAUAAAUCACACGUUCUUUCCCCUCAAAUUCUUGAAUAAGAGCUGAACCGAUAACUGUAUCAUCGGUUGAUAAGUACAACGUGAAGGGCUUCCCAUGUUGUGGUGGAACCAACACUGGAGGAUUCGUCAAAUAACUUUUAAUCUCAUCUAACGCCAACUGUUGCUCUUUUCCCCACACAAACUUUUGAUCGGCUAUUUGCUUGAGCAAAGGACUGAAGGCCUUUAUCUUACCCGAUAAAUUAGAUAUAAAUCGCCUAAUAAAAUUGAUCUUGCCGAUCAGAGAUUGGAGCUCAAUCUUAUCAGCAGGAGCGACUAUCUUGUUGAUUGCAUCAAUAGACCUCCUACUAAUCUCAAUUCCUCUCUGAUGCACCAUGAAACCCAAAAACUGGCAUGCCGAUACACCAAACGCACAUUUAUUAGGAUUCAUCUUUAAACCAUGCUUCCUUGUGCACUCAAGUAUCUUCCAUAAAUUGGCUAAAUGUUUUAUGAAAUCUCCAGACUUAACCACCACAUCAUCAAUAUAAAUUUCCACCAAAGUGUCGAUGAAUUCAUGGAAGAUAAAAUUCAUGGCCCUUUGAUAAGUAGCAACAGCAUUUUUCAAACCAAAAGUCAUGACUAUCCAUUCAAAUAACCCAACAUGACCAGGACACCUAAAUGAAGUCUUGGGAAUAUCUUCUUCAGCCAUGAAUAUUUGAUUAUACCCUGCAUUGCCAUCCAUGAAGCUAAUAAUCCGAUGUUCGGCCGCAGCAUCAAUCAACAAAUCGGCAACUGGCAUUGGAUAACUAUCCAUCGGCGUAGCUUUGUUAACAUUUCUAAAGUCAAUGCACACACGAAGCUUUCCAUUCUUUUUGUAAACAGGAACAACAUUGGAAAUCCACUCAGCAUACCAACUGUCGGUGUUUUCCCCACGGGGGGUCACACCAACGAGUAAAUUUGUAUGCGUGCUCCCUUUCCCAGAUGGUGAUGCGAGAUGACACUGAGGUUUAUCCUGGUUCGGGCAAGAGAAAGCCCUACGUCCAGCGGGGGAGGAGAGUUUGUAUUAUCUCGCACCUAAGUGCUUGUACAGGGGUGAAUACAAGUGCGGUAUGAAGUGUGUGAGCUCUACUGCAUAUGAUCGUGGUGUUGUGCGUUCUAUUCCUGAGUUCCUCCUUUUAUAGCUCCAAGGAGAGACCCAGGGUACAUGUAUAGGCGCCAGAAUAAGAGUCGAUAGCAGCAUGGGGCGCUGACCUACUCGAGGCUUCCGUACCGGCAUGGCCUCGAGCCGUCCCGUCUUGAUAGCCUGGUGAUGAUUACGCGUGCCCCUGCAUUCUGCUCUGCGCGCCGUCUUGUGUUGGUUCAACGGUCGCACGCUUGUACGGUAUGGCGGCAGAUCCGGUGGGGUGGUUGUGGUGUUAUCAGUCGACGCCCAACUCGUCCCCAGGAUGGAACCCCGUUCGGUCGAGGGCCGGACGCCGUGUAAUGUGCCGAUGUCUGGAGCGCUGACCUUGGAUGUCUCGAGGGGGUCCCGAUUAGACGUUCCAUCCUUAUUUCCUGCGUCCUGACACGCCCUAGGUUGUUUGGUGGGAAAGCUGCAAAAAGAACGAUGGGACAGAUGCCUGUUCCCUAUCACGCCUCCCGUGACCUGUGUGUUAGGUGGGGAAGCGUCAGGCGCAUUUAAUGUCCCGGCUCUCGUGCGCGCGUCAGGCGGCAGACAGUGUCCUUGCGCUCGAUGCCUUCUGAUUCGCUUGAGCCUGUUUCCGUAUUCGAUGGUAGUCAGCACUCGACCCCCAAGUGGUUCGCUCGACGUUAUUUCCAUCUUCGAGGCUGCAGCCGUCGAUUGCUGCGCACAUGUGUGACCAGAACGUCGAGUUGAGGGCCUCGACUUGCGUAUGGAUAAUCUUGAUAGGUGCAUCGGUGAGGGUACCUCUUACUGAUACCCUCGACAGUAGCCCCCGAGUCUCCAUUCGAGCGCUGGCGCUCGAGUGGAGGCUUUACUUUUGCGGUCGAAUUUCUGUGGGGGCGCGCGAGCGACCCCGCGGGGGUAGCCCCCGAGCCCUCGAGGGAGUUUUUAACUCCUUCGAGGGUUAUUUUGCCUAAUUUGCAGAAACGCUGUCGACACCAGUGUUGGAAGGUUCUGAUCGGCUUUGCCUUGUGAGGAGGUCUCGACGUACUCUCGGUAGAGCGAGCGUCUUCCACCCCAGAUUGAGUUCCUAGCGGGUAAUCCAAGUGAGAACCUGUGCCCCUUUCGAGGAAGUCAGCUGUAGCCCGGAGGCGUUCUCAUAAAGCAGGGUCGACGUGGUCGGGGAUACCGGUCUCAUUCGAUAGAGUCCAGCGGCUCGAUGCCUCCCGUCGGGCGGAUUCCUCUCGACUGUCUCGACCCUACCUUGGACAUCACCAGCGAGUCUUCGAGGCGGGCCUCGAUCUUCGACUGCUCGCUGGGGAUCCCUGACUCUGGUGCUCGAGAUCGGCUGUCGAACCCUUUCGGUGGGCCAGCCAUCGACCUCUCGAGACUCUCGCGGGUACGCCCCUUGGCCUACAAGGGAAGGAGGUGGCCGUGGCGGUUCGCCUUUUUUGCCCGUUGGGCGCGCCUUUUCAGGUGGGUGACGUUACAACACUGCGUCGGCGUGGAAUUCGGAGCGCCCCGCCUGUGAGGGGAAAGAGAUUGUUAGGUGGCGCAUUUAUGGGGGGAGUUACCUUAUUUCUCGGAUCCGUCCGUUGGUGGAUUGCUGCCUAUAAAUACGCCGUGGCGCCACCGCCGUUCUUUCUUCCGCCUCCUAUCUUCACUCUUGCCUUAGCCUUUUUGCCGUCUUAGCUUUCUCGCCGUCUCACACGCCCACGCCUCCUCGAGCAGUAGCGGAUCCACCGUCCUUCCAGCCGAGAUGCCUGUGAGACUCGUUGCCGCCGACGACUGGUGCCCGUCGUCGAUGACGGAGCGCCGGUUGUUAGAGCUUGAGAGAGAGGGACUGCUGCGCCGCCGCACCUCGCUAUCGUCGCCCGAGUGGAUCGCGCCGCCGGCGAACCACAGGGAGCCCCAACCGCCCGAGGGCUACGUGGUGUCAUUCGCCAAAUUCCACCUCCACGGCCUGGGUGCUCCUCCGAGCCGCUUUAUGCGGGCACUUUGCUUCCACUACGGGGUGGAGCUCCAACACUUCUCCCCGAAUGCCAUCACCGUCACGGCGGUCUUCGCCACCGUGUGUGAGGGCUACUUGGGGAUGAUGCCGCACUGGGAGCUGUGGCUCCACCUCUACAGGGGCGAACUUUUCCACACCCCCACCGGAACCACGGGCGUAAGGAAGCCCAUGCGGGCGGGAUGCCUCAAUCUUGUGCAGAAGACGGGGAAGACGGACAGGCCGCGGGAGUACAUCACGGUAGGGUUAUCGACCAACCACGCCGGCUGGGACUCUCAGUGGUUUUACCUACAGAACGACGACAACCUCCUGCCUUCCUACUCGGGUCGUCUGAUCAUGGAGCGUCCAGCGGACUAGACAUACGGCGUCGUCCAAGCUCACCAAUCUCGGCUCGACCCCCUCCUCGACGUCCUGAAGAAGCUUCGCCAGGAGGGUUUGACCGCCGCUCUCGUCCUCUCAACCGUCCAUCACCGGAGAGUUCUCCCAUUGAUGUCUCGACCGUUGAGGAUGGACGAGAUGGGACCUGGCGUCUCAUCUCGAGACCUCGAGGCGUGCCGGAUGUCCAACGAGGCUCCGGCGGACGACGAAGUCGCGGCCCGAGUCAGGGCUGCAAUUGCCGGUGAUUUUCAGCCGGAGCAUGUUAACGGCUUCCCCAUGAGGCCAGACGCAGGCUCGAUCGAUCUGGUAUGGUUUCUUCUCGCGCGCAGCCUCGAUUCUGGGUUUCCUUUCUUCCCCCCCUUUUUUUUCUAAGUCUACCUUUGUUUUGGCAGGGACGGAUUGAUGUCCGAUCCUCGAGGCCUUCAGUAAAGGAGGACGAGGUCGAUCGCGACAAGCGGCGCCAAUCUUCCGAAAAGCUAAAAUCCGCCAAGGACUCUGCAAAGAAGGGGGAGAAGAAGAAGAACCUCGACCGCCAAGCAUUAGAGGCGCGUCGAGCCAAAUCCAGGCAGAGGGGGGAGCCUGAGGAAGAAUCCCCCAACGACGACGAUGAUGACGACGAGGACAGCGACGACUCUGAGGGGAUGGCGUCACGCCUUGACCGAAUCCUCGAGGGUCCACCUCGAGGCGACGUCGAUGCCCCCCGGACGGAGACUCCAAAGGAGGGUCCGAGCGGUUCUCACCGCCCUCGGGCCGAUAUGCCUCCUGCGCCCAAGGCUGGUCAAGUCGCGCCGCGCCCUCCCCCGGCGCUCAGGGAAAGCGGUCAUGCUAGGCCCCAGGCGACGGGGCCACUGACUCGCGGUCGUGCCGCGGCCUCCGAGAAAGGAGAGGCCGGCCGCAGGAGCGCCAGUCCCAACGCCCGCCAGGCGGGAACUGUCGCGCCAAGGCCAGCGCCUGCCUUCGAGGGGCCUGGGGCCCUGACGUGGGGUGGCUCGAGGCCCGCCGGUCGGGGCGGCGGUAGGCGAGCUGUUCUCCCUGUGGGGUAAGCUUUUUCGACAUUGUGGCUUUUGUCUUCCUGCUCCUAUGCACUUUCUCAUAUGCCGAUCUUCUCCGGCGCUCAUCUGUUUCUUUUCUCAGGCUAAAGCGGACCCUCGAGCAGGCCCAGCCGUCCAUGGCAAAGAGGCUCAAAGCGGGAGCUGCCUCCAAGGAGCCAGGUUUGUGGUUUACUUUUGGGAUUUGUGAUGUUCUUGUGCUAGCCAUCGCAGUCACCGGCCUUUAUUUUUUGUUUUGCAGGCUCCUCCGACUCCCAACCUCCAGCCGGCGUUGAGAAUGCUCCGCCUCGUCCUGUGCCUACCCCGUCGCCGCCGACGUGUGGCGAGGCACCCCAGACGCAAGUGCCAGAGGGAGCCCCCGAGCCUCCUCUAUUGGGGGUCGAGGGGGAACCCAUCACCAUCAGCGAUACAUCUGAUGGUAACGAAGCGUCUGGGGUGCCCGCCCUAUGGAGGAGGAAACGUCGACCUCCCACGUCGCGGGACGGACUCCCUGGCCCGCUGGCCUUCGAGCCCUCGAAGAGUAGAAGGAGAAAGAGAAGGAGGGGGAGGAGCGGGAGCGUGAGGCGACGCGGCCGCCACAGGAGCAGGAGCAGCAAACGCCCGAGGGGCUUCAACAACAGUAGCAGCAGAGGGAACAACAGCAGCAGCAGGAGCAGGCGGGCCAAGAGGAAAGGCCGCUCGAGCCCCUACCUCAAGGUCUGGCCCAACCGGUGCCACCGGCGCCGCAAGAGCCCGGCGAUCAGGAGGAAGAUUUGCCGGUGUACGGCCCUCCCACCCCGGCGUGGCUCCUCCCGGGGGCGCCUACCGCGAUCCGGGCAGAGUCGGGGCGAGCGGAUGGAGUGGUGGCGCUCGCCUGUAUGAUGCGCACCCCCAUCGACCCCGAGUCCGAGAUCAAGAGGACGAUCUACGGCAUGGACGGGAUCGCCCCUAGGUUCCUUCGGGAGCGUCGAGCGUGGGAGGACCGCUUUCCCUCUGAGGAGGAUGAGAUCGGAUCACCCCUGGGUUCCUCCGGGAGCGUCGAGCGUGGGAGGACUGCUUUCCCUCCGAGGAGGAUGAGAUCGGGUCGUCAGGGAGCAAGGACGGUACCUGGAAGACGGUUGACGACGACGGGCGGUUCCCAUGCCUUGUCGACCUGUUCUUGCACCACGGGGGCUCCCUCGAGACCGUUGAGAACCUUAUCCGUGGUGUCAAGGCGCGGGCUGAUCGAGAGAUGGAGAACUGGUGCCCCGAUCGGAUUCGUAUCCGGGCUUCCACCGAUCCGUCCGAGCCCAACAUCUUCCUCGACGACAAGAAGGAGGCCGAGAAGUGGGAACAUGUCGAGGAGCUCCGCCUUUGGAUGAAGCACAUGGUGGGGCUCUUGUCGGACAUCAUCAACAACGGGCUCGGGCCUGCUUAUUUUGUAAGUGUCUUUCGAUCUUUGAUCUCCAUGGAGCCCUUUGGUUUUGUUCUCUAACUGUUCGUCCACCGGCUCGCAGGAUAUGAAGGAGACCUCCCGCAUCAAGUCGAGCUUCAUCCACGCCACGCGAGGCGGCUGGGAGCAGCUCCCCGUCCUCAAGGAUCAACUCCUCGAGUCGCAGGAGAAACUCCUCAAGGCUUAUAAAGACCUCAUAGCGCUCGAGGAGGAGAAGAAGGCGAGGGAGGCUGCCUUGGUAGAGGCUCAAGAGGCCUCGAAGAAGGCAGAGGAGGAGACGACGCUGCUGCGGGAGUGGGCUCUGACGGUCGAGGAGGCUGCAUCCAGAGCCCGGGAGGAGGCCCUGUCCUACAAGAACGUUAUUGCGGACCUGGACAAGGAGAAGGGCCUUCUCAAGACCGACCUAGACUCCCUCCGAGAGUCCUUCCAGAAGAUGAAGGUGGAGCACGUGAACGGCGAGAUCGCCAGGAGCGCCGCGGAGGACGCCAAGAAGAAGGCCCUAGAAGAUCUCGAGGCGGAGCGUGCUCAAUCCCGCAAGCUCUCUGACGACGUCGAACAUCUGAAGGGAGAACUGUUGGAGAAGAGUGGGGCCAUCGCUCAGGCUGGCAAGGUGAUCGAGGAUCUCCGCGUCGCCAACACCGAGCUGGCCUGUUCCAACAGAGAGAUCGAGAGGGCCAACACCAGAUUAGUCGGCGAAAACACGGCCCUGGAGGAGAGCGUCCGCGGUACGUUUCCUUUGUCGGGUUUCUUUUUCGAGGUGUGCUCAGUUUUUCCUAAAGUUUCUUGUAUUGGCGUUUGCAGGGCUUAAGGACGAACUCCUAGCCGACCAAGUCGAGGCCCGUAAUGCCAAGACCCAGCUCGAGGCUGAGGUUGCUUUGAACCGUCGAGUGCGGAUGGCGAUAAGCGACCUCUCGGCCUCCUGGGAGGUCGAGCCUAUGGAGGAGUCGAGGGAGGACGCUUGAGGCGACGCACUGGUCAACCAGCUGUGCUACUUAGGCGCGACGCUGAGAGAUCGAGUGCGGGACGCCCUCCACAUCGGGGUGAAGCGGGCGAUGGCAGUUGUCUGCCCGGGCUUCUCCUAUGACAUGGAGGUGGUGUCCCACGGCUUCGUCACCGACAUCUCCAUGACCGACGCGGAGAACGAAGAGAGGCUCCAUGCCUUGAUCGACGACGCGGAGGCUCCUGGGGAAAGGCUGGCUAAGCUUUUUGAGCCUGAGGUGCUUCCUCCUGAGACUGGCUCGGGCGCAGGCGAGGGUGGUGAGGAUCGUGCCAUGGACUGAGGCCUGCGAGCCUGCGCGGGGUGCCUGGGGCCCCUUGUAUAAUACUUUGUCAAUAUGCUUUUUGAAUGAUACAGUAUCUUUUUGUAAUUGCUAAAUGUUUAUUUGUCUUUCCGCUCGAGGUUCUUUUAUUUCUCUUUGCGCCUACGUUUGUAUUCCUUGUUCGAUCUUUCGUAAAAAACAAACUCGAUCGUCUCAAGGGUGAGGAAGUGAGUAGAGUUUCCGUAGCCCGGGGGCGUAGGAGUUCUCAGGCUCGUUGUCCCUCGACCUUUGAGGGGCUCGAGGUGCCUUAGCUACUCGAAUCGUGUAAGGUUUACUAAGUAGGAAGAGAAAAUUUCUUGGCUUUUUCGACGUAUGGGGGGGGGUCGUCCCCCUGGUAGCCCCCGAGGGGGUGUUGACUAUGAUAGGUCAUAGUCGGCGCCCCCUUCCAAUGUCGAGAUUAUGACUUGUAAAUCCUUGGUACAAAAAGAAAUUGCUCGAGGGAAAGACUUCAUUUAUUCAUGCAUUCGUUUACAGAGUCUUGGUACAAAAUGUACGUAGGAACGUAAGUUUUGAACUUUUAGGGGUAGAAUCAACGUAGUUGUUCGAUGUUCCAUGCGUUGGUGAAGACCGCCCCCUUCUCGUCCGCUAACUUGUACGUUCCUGGCUUCAAGACCUCGGCCACUACGUACGGGCCUUCCCAUGGUGGGGUCAGCUUGUGGCGUCCUUGAUUGCUCUGCCGUUGUCGUAGGACAAGGUCACCCACGUUUAAGUCCCUCUUUCGUACGUGUUUGUCAUGGUAGCGUCGAAGCUUCUGCUGGUAUCUGGCAGAGUUAAGGAGGGACAUGUCUCGAGCCUCCUCAAGCAGGUCGACAGCACUCUCUUGAGCUUCCUUAUUUGACUGCUUGUUGUAUGCCUUGAGUCGAGGAGAUCCAUACUCGAGGUCCGUUGGGAGCACGGCCUCAGAGCCAUAGACCAUGAAGAACAGGGUGUAUUUGGUGGCCCGGCUUGGCGUCGUCCUCAGACUCCAUAAGACCGAGGAAAGUUCCUUGACCCACUUCUUGCCGAAUUUCUUCAGGCGAUUGUAGAUCCUUGGUUUGAGCCCUUGCAAGAUCAUGUCGUUGGCACGCUCGACCUGGCCGUUAGUUCGAGGGUGAGCCACCGCAGACCAGUUCACACGGAUGUGAUGCUGAUCGCAGAAGUCCAAGAACUUUUUGCCAGUGAACUAGGUGCUGUUGUCGGUGAUGAUCACGUUAGGGAUUCCGAAUCGGUGUAUGAUGUCGGUGAAGAAGAGGACGGCUUGUUCGGAGCGGAUAUUGGUGAUGGGUCGAGCCUCGAUCCAUUUGGAGAAUUUGUCAACGGCCACGAGUAAGUGGGUGUAACCCCCUUUUGCCUUUUGUAGAGGUCCUACUAAAUCGAGUCCCCAUACCGCAAAUGGCCAGGUGAUGGGGAUCAUCUGAAGAGCGUGGGCGGGCAGAUGCGUCUGUUUGGCGUAGAACUGGCACCCAUGACAUGAAUGUACAAGCUCGAUGGCAUCUGUCACGGCCGUUGGCCAGUAGAAACCUUGUCGAAAGGCGUUCCCUAUGAGGGUCCGUGGAGCUGCAUGGUGGCCGCAAGCCCCCGAGUGUAUGUCCUCGAGGAGUUUUCGGCCUUCUUCUAUGGUGAUGCAACGCUGCAGGACCCCCGUCGGGCUUCGUCGGUAUAGCUCAUUGCCUUCGCCAUAAAUCACAUAUGACUUGGCCCGUCGAGCGAUACGGCGGGCCUCAGAUCGAUCUUCUGGCAGCUCGCAGCGGAUUAGGCAGUUGAGGAACGGUGUACGCCAGUCGAACGGUCGACCGGGUCGCUGCUCUACCUCCAUCACCUCUGCUGCCAUCAGUAGUGCAUCGACGGUGUCGGUUGGCUGGGCGGGAGCGGCAUCGACGCCAGCCCCCGAGCCCAAGUCGACGGAUGGCUCGUGAAGAUCUCUUGAGAACGCAUCAGGUGGCACCGUGCCUUGAGUCGAUGCGAUCUUGGCGAGCUCGUCGGCUGCCUCGUUGUAGCGUCGGGCGACAUGGACGAGCUCGAGACCAUGGAACUUGUCCUUGAGUCGACGAACUUCUUUGCAGUACGCCUCCAUUUUUGGGUCGUGGCAGCUCGAAGUCUUCAUCACCUGGUCGAUGACGAGUUGGGAGUCGCCUCGGACGUCGAGGCGUCGGACUCCUAGCUCGAUGGCAAUCUUGAGACCGUUGACGAGGGCCUCAUAUUCCGCGACGUUAUUAGAUGCGGCAAAAUGAAUCCUGAUAACAUACCUCAUAUGGGCGCCCAAGGGUGAGAUGAACAGCAGGCCGACCCCGGCCCCUAUUUUCAUGAGUGACCCAUCAAAAUACAUCGUCCACAGCUCCGCCUGGACCUGAGUCGGGGGAAGCUGGGAGUCUGUCCAUUCCGCGAUGAAGUCUACCAGGGCCUGCGACUUGGUAGCCUUGCGAAGCGCAUAAGUGAGCGUCUCACUCAUGAGCUCGACCGACCAUUUAGCUAUUCUUCCCGUGGCCUCCUUGCUCUGGAUUAUUUCGCCUAAAGGGAAGGACGAGACCACCGUGAUGGGGUGGUCGAAGAAUGUAGUGUUGCAGCUUACGGCGGGCAAGGAUUACGGCGUAGAUCAGCUUCUGGAUUUGGGGGUAACGUGCCUUGGUCUCCGAAAGCACUUCGCUGACGAAAUAGACUGGCCUCUGGACUGGUAGCGCAUGUCCCUCCUCCUGCCUUUCGACCACCACUGCUACGCUGACGACUUGGGUCGUCGACGCAACGUAGAGGAGCAGCGGUUCUGCAGGUUGAGGUGGGACCAGGACUGGUGCUGAGGUCAGCGUCUUCUUCAGCUUUUCGAGCGCUUCCUCGGCCUCGGGGGUCCAAGAAAAGCGCUCGGCCUUCUUCAGAAGUCGAUACAACGGCAACGCCUUUUCUCCUAGUCUUGAGAUGAAACGGCUCAGAGCCGCCAGGCAUCCCGUGACUCUUUGCACACCCUUGAUGUCCCGGAUCGGCCCCAUUCUUGUGAUGGCCGAGACUUUCUCGGGGUUGGCCUCGAUGCCGCGCUGCGAAACAAUGUAGCCCAAGAGCAUGGCUCGAGGCACGCCGAAAACGCAUUUCUCGGGAUUGAGCUUGAUUUGGUUGGCGCGUAAACAGCUAAAAGCGAUCUCGAGGUCCUGGAUCAGGUCCCCUCGCCGUUUUGACUUGACGACAAUGUCGUCGACAUAGGCCUCGACUGUCGACCCUAUGUGUCCACCAAAUACGUGGAGCAUGCAGUGUUGGUAUGUAGCUCCCGCGUUUCGAAGCCCAAAUGGCAUGGUUACAUAGCAAUACAUCCCAAAAGGUGUGAUGAAAGAGGUCGCGAGCUGGUCGGACUCUUUCAUUUUUAUUUGAUGGUAACCGGAAUACGCAUCAAGGAAAGAAAGGGUUUCACAUCCCGCAGUAGAAUCGACGAUCUGAUCAAUACGUGGUAAUGGAAAAGGAACUUUUGGACAUGCUUUAUUUAGACUUGUAUAAUCGACACACAUCCUCAUUUUCCCAUUCUUUUUCUUAACUAAUACAGGGUUUGCUAACCAGUCGGGAUGAUGAACCUCCUUGAUGAAUCCGGCCGUCAAAAGCUUGUGGAUUUCCUCGCCAAUGAUCUUGCACUUCUCCUCGUCGAAUCGGCGCAACGGCUGCUUCACUGGCUUGGAACCGGCUCGAAUAUCCAAGGAGUGCUCGGCGACUUCCCUCGGUAUGCCUGGCAGGUCUUGCUCAAGGAUUUGCUCAAGCAGGACGAGGCGCUCACAGUCUUCGUCGAGCUUCAUCUUGAGCUCUCGUAGCUGUGCAAGCUGCGUAGCUUUGUCUUCCUGUGGUGGGGGGUCGACCCGCCCGUCGUUCCCAGGCGUCCUGGGGUCUUCCCGUGCUGCAGGGGCUCGACCGCCCGCUGUAGCAUCCUGCGUCUCGUCGGUAGUUUCUACUGCCCCGUCGACGUGAUAGCAUUCCCUCGUUGGGUCGUAGCUAUCAGUCUCGGAGUCGGAGUCCGGCUCGGCGGCGUAGAAGCAUCCACGUCCCUCCUCCAGCAGCCGUUGCCUGAGUGAGGUGAUCGUGUAUCGCCCGGGGCCUAGGCGGCGGAGGCCUCGCACCUGGGAGAAAUCCGGCAGUUUGGACGUCGGUCGUAGUGUCUCAGGGUCACGUGGGAGGACCAUUGGUAUCUCCACGUACGUCUGAGCAUUUGGGCAUAUUGCUCUGGCGAGCGACGCCGCGGCGUUGUCCAAUCCGAAUGGCAGUGCCCUUCUUGGAGUGAACAACCCGUGUGGAAGUAGCUCAGUAGCGGUGGGGGAGGGCGCGUGAGACGCGUUGCCUCCCGUCGUCGCGUGAUGUUGAGCCGUCGUGCCCGCGGUUCUGGCACAUGGUGUUGCCGGCUCGCAGCCCACCUCCUGCCUCGCACGAGUUGCCGGUCGUGAUGAGGCAGAGGGGCGGCGGUGGUGCUGUCCGCGCCUCUUCUUGGGUGGGGAGGCGUGGUGGCGAGGGCGUCUUGGGGCCCUCAACCGAGCUGGUGCCACGCGGGCUCCUCCCGGUCCUUUGACUGAGAGCAAGAUCAUGCCGUAGCCGGAGCCCGUAGACAUGAACUCGAGACUCCCAAACCAAAUCACCGUGGAGCGCGGAAUCGGUGAGGCAAGAGCUGCCAUCUGGAAAGGAGAGGGAAACCGAUGAAAAAACACACAGGACCCCUACCUGGCGCGCCAACUGUCGGUGUUUUCCCCAUGGGGGGUCACACCAACGAGUAAAUUUGUAUGCGUGCUCCCUUUCCCAGAUGGUGAUGCGAGAUGACACAGAGGUUUAUCCUGGUUCGGGCAAGAGAAAGCCCUACGUCCAGCGGGGGAGGAGAGUUUGUAUUAUCUCGCACCUAAGUGCUUGUACAGGGGUGAAUACAAGUGUUGACGGUCCUUAAUGCUCAUAUUUAACCAUCAAUUAAUCAUAGAAAAGGAUCCAAAUGCAACCAACACCUAGACUUAGGGUUUUAUCUGACAGAAUUCCACAAGUUUUGGUGUUUGUCUAUUUCUGCAGGGGGUUAUCAGGAAAUUUGAAAGAAAGGCCCACACGUCGGGUUUACAUAGAGAUAUUAACGCGCCGCGCAAUUUUCUAUCAUCUAGAAGACUCCAGAAGCCACGGGACCGAAGCGGAAGCCGAGAGGCCUCAGGGACAGGGCGCCCGCCCUAGUCCUGAGGGCGCCCGCCCACCUCUUUCCACCAAUCAGGGUGAAGUUCGAGGAUCAUGCUCCACCGACCUAAUACUUCAAGGAAAACCACACGAUCAAUGUCGGUUUGAUCCGACGACCCAGAUUCACUUGAAGGGACUAUAAAACCAGACCCCCCUGGCCCCUGGAGAUCAUACCUCUUCUACAGAAUCAAAGUUAGGGUUUCAAUUCUUCAUCCAAGUAGAGAGGAUCCCUCUAGUUCUUCUAGUUCUACCUCUAGUUCAUCUAGAUCUAGUUCUAGUUCAUAUAGUUCUAGUUCUAGUUCUUCUAGUUCUAGUUCUAGUUAGUUCUAGUUGUAAUCUAGAAAAUAGGGAGAGAGAAGAGGAGAGCGGAGGAGGAGCCGGAUCUGUCGGAUCUUCCUUAACAUUAUACUUUUGCAGCAUCUGGUUCGUUCUUCAUCGUUCUCCAGGUUCUUCAAUUCAUAAUUCCUGAGUUCUUUAAUUACUUUUAUUUACAUUCAAGUUAUUUAUUGGAUUCCUGCUUGCAUCAAGUGCUCUAGUCUUUAUAACGCUAGAGUAGUAAUUAAUAGAUUACACGUGGUGUUUAGUCUUGCAAUUACCUGGAAUUGCACCCAAUCCUACGGAUUGUUGUGGUAGCCUUAGGGUAGUGACAGCCCUAACGGUCGACGUAUUCCACCACGUUCGGAUCGGUGUUUGUAGGACCGUAGUCGGAGCUUCCUAGCCCCCUUCUCAUCUCUUUCUGUGGUUAGUGUUCUGAUGUCCCGAAAUAGAUAAUCUUGAAGUAAUUCUUGAUUCUUAGAUCAAUUAGAGAACUCUCAGGAAACUUCCUCUCUUCCCACCAAAAAUAAUUAUAUAGUUAUCCUUGGGCGAUCUUGGAUCGUAAUUAGUACACUCACGUUCCCUGUGGAAAAUCGAUACUCUGGAAUACUCCCGGGUGAAGGCUACAUCGGUAUCCGUGCGCUUGCGGAUUUUUCUGUUUGCGUUUAAAAUACCCAACAAGCUUUCUGGCGUCGUUGCCGGGGAACGGUAGCUGUGCUAGUUUCGAACCAAGUCGUCCGUGUAUCCUUUUUCUUUUCCUUUUAUACCACACUCACCUUACCAUUUUCACCACACCACAUGGAUUUCACUCUAAGCAUUAAUGAGCAUGGAAUUUAUUUCAUAGCCACUUCACUUACUCCAUGCUCAUAUGCAACAUCUUCACAAUCCAUUGGUCUCUCCAAUAUCACCACAUUCAAGAUCUCCAACCCCCUCUUCCUUUCUAUUUAUAAAAACUUUAAAAGGGUGGUUGUCGAUGCAUAUGUCUAUAAUAUAUAUUGCAGAUCUCGUUGAGUUGAUCUUGAUAUAGGUCAGCGUUGGAGCGGAAACCACUUCGCAGACAUAAAUUAAUGGUUUCCCAAGGACAAGCUUAGUGUCCUAAAAUAAGCACUGAUCAGAUCGUAACAUGAGCUUUUAAUUAUUUGCAAUAUUACCUUGUGUGUUAAGCAUAUAAGGAUAAUUGUAAAAACAUUCCUUCGGGUAUUCUUGUCACUAACCUUUCUAGGAUUGGAGCAAGAAGAUCGAAUGAAUGACAAGCACAAGGUAUGUCCAACCAAUCAUCAUACAACAUUGAAUUAAAUUCAUCCAAACUUGAAUUUUGCAAAAUUCAAGCUUGGGGGAGUACUUUACAUAAAAACAUCCUUUGCCAUGUUGCUAUGUUGGUUGUCCCUACCUUUGAGACAUGCUCAAUUUGUUAAAUACUAGUCACACUACUUCAUCUCCACUUGAGUAGAUCUCUAUAAAUGCUUUCAUGCUACCUUUAUUUGCUUUAGUAUAUGUCUAGGUUUGGAGUAGUUUCAUUUAUCUCUUAAUUAAGCAAGGUGCUUAGUUUAGGAAAGAUGAUCUUACUUCCAAAGGAUUUUAAAUUAAGCAUGAUGCUUAGGUUAAAAUUCCCUCCUAAAUCAAAUUAGACAUGGUGUCUAGGUUGAUCUUUGAGCCGAUAGUAUGCUAUAGUAGAUAUUGGAUAUUUUGUUGGACUAACCCCUACAGGAAAACUUUCAAUAUCGACCUGGGAAGUCCUGAGAUAAACUCACAUUGGAGAUAAAGAGAGAGACACAUGAAGUUUAACAAUUUACACAAGGAAGGCACAAGAGAUGAUCGAUGGAGGGUGCCACAAACACGAUGCACAACCGCUAAGAGAGGAAAGCUUCCACAAGGUGAUAUUGUACCAUCACUCUUCAAGUAAGGUAACAUUUUAAGGUACUUGACUAUCACUUCUAUAAGCUUCUCCUUUGUUCUAGUGUUCACAUGAAUAAAAGAGACAAACAUGUAUGAUUUACAACUCUAGAUUAACCAACACAAUUGAUUCAAUAUGUUUAGUCCUUCCACCUUUGUGAUUCCACACUCCUAAUCAUAUUAGCUAAAAUGUUGCACACUCAAUCUUUGAAAGAUAUAAACAAAACAUAAAUAUAGAUAGAUUAUCUUUCCAUAAGGUUGAGCAAUCUGAUCUAACAAAUGUUUUAAAUGUUACACUCAUGGUCUUAUUAUCCAUCAACUUUGUCUUUCUCACUAUGCUUAAGGUUAGAGAGAACAAAUACACUUUUGGUUCUGUUGGUGUUUUCCACCAACAGGGCCCAUGCACUUGAUCUCUGCCUUGUCUCUAUGAGCAGGUACACUUUGAGCAAAAUAUGAAGGACUUUUAUAACUCCUAGACUCCACCAAGUGAAGAACCUAGAUCUACGAGCACAAACACACUGGAGAUACUAGACACUCAGGCAAUCACUGCCCUGAGAUGCUUGAGGAUGUAACUACUGGAGUAACCCUGUUGUGGAAGUAAUUACUGACCUUCUGCCGGUUAAGAGAUACAAUCCAGGACAUCCCGUCAUCCCGAUCUCCAUCGGCAUGGUGGACUUCCCAGAAGCACUCUGCGACUUUGGCUCUAGCGUCAACAUUAUGCCCAGGGUACUCUAAGAAAAAUUCUUUACACAUCCUUUAUCAGAAACAACCAUGGGUUUGCAGCUUGCAGACCGUACACUAAGUUUCCCAAAAGGAAUAUUGAAGAACCUCUGUAUACGAGUUGGUACCUUGUACGCCCCAGCAGACUUCAUGGUGAUAGAGACUGGUACUAAUGAGAGGGCACCCAUCCUAGGGAGGCCAUUCCUGAACACCUCAGGAGCUGUCAUCUACGCUAGUGCUGCCAAGAUCAGUUUCUACAUCAAGGGGAGGAAGGAGACGUUUUCCUUCAAGAACAAGACUACACAAAUCUUAGAGCAAUCCUGACAUGAAACAAGGAAAGGACCAACAGGAGGAACAAGAACAAGCAAAUGUGGACCGAGUCAGCUAAGAUGGUCACUGUAGUUCAAGGAGGUCAAGAUCAUCGACUUAAGUCACCAUUCCUGACCAAAAAGGAUGACCCAGCUCCUGCAUGGAGCCAUGCAUCUACAACCAAAAUACAUUCAGCUCCAGAUGAUUUGAAGGUUAUUAUCAUGGGAGAAGACGAGUACAAUCCACCCAUCAUCCUUGGAAGACCGUUCCUCAACACCGUUAAAGCAAUCAUCUACAUUGGAACCGGAGAAGUCCACAUGCACUUCCCCUCUGAGAAGGUACGCCACUAUUUUACUGACCCUAACCAUAUAGUUGAAGACUCUAAGCAGGUCAGGACAAGAAGAAGACGACGCAACCGCAAUCAGAGAAGGCAAAUCAUCAAGGACGGAUGGGUAGACUAUGAAGGAGAAGUUGUAAGGUCUGAAGACAUACAACUUGAAUAGAACUGUCCUGAGGAGACCGUAGCACCGAGUCAGGUGUGGAGAGAGAAGAUAGUUAUACAUGAAGACCAGGCGCUGCCGGAACCACCGACUACGCCAUCUAGCGAAUCCCAGGACGAAUGAGAAAACGGAGAGUCCCGUUCGGAGGAUUUAAAAACACCGAACGCCUUGCCAAGAGGUAAACUUAGUAGUUAUCUUUUCCUUUCAAUUAUUUUAAAAUAGUUUACUUAGUUAGUCAGGUUUAUAUCAUCUUGAAAAGAAAAUAAAAAUGUUAAAAAUAGUAAGCCCCAUGUGAGUAUGCUCAUGGCAUAAAACCCAUAAGUACAUUCACUGUGGUGGCAUAAAAAUAAAAUAAAUAUAUUCCUGUCCUAUAAAAAUGAAAAUAUAAAAAUAAAUUUAUGAUCCUACUAAAGAGAGUAACAUUUAUUGAGGAGGCUCAACAUGAUAAAGGCUAGGUAUUUACGCUAACCCUUAACCAGUUCCACAAAGCUUUGUUGUCUAUUUGAGCUCCACAGAAUUCAAGGAUCAAAGAAGACUACCAGACGGAGGACAUCCUACUCACUGUCAAGGUGCUGCCGACAUUCAAAUACACCUCCGCCACUUGCUAGCUACAUCAGAAGAAAUUAUGUCAAAAUCCAGCUUGGGGAAGAGCACCCUCAUUUAUCCAGCUAAGUAUUCUACUCACGUUUAUACUUUACUCUAAUAAUAAAAAGAUGCAUAAUCAUAAAAACCCAAAUAAAGAUUUUGUGCUUAUAUAUAUAUAUCUUUGCUUAGCUUGCUAAAUAAAUAAAUAAAUAAAGUUUGCUAUGAACCCUCAUGAUAAGCUCUCACAUGGAAAGAUGAAUAGUUGCUCUGCCAUGACUAGUUCUCAAAAUUGAAAUCUCUCUCAAGUUUAGGCAUCACUGUUAUUAAUUAAGAUUUGCUCUAAACCUAAACUUGUGGGAAGAGUACUUGAUCUAAAGUCUAAGUCGUUAACGGAUAUGAUAUGGGAAGGUUGAGCUGCUGUUUAUCUAUUCCUAGAGAUGCUAGAAUUUUGGAGAAUUUUAUCUUUGAAAAUCUUUAAAAUGUUGCAUGAUGAGUUCCUGUAUAAUGAGAGUUUAAAUUCCUACCAUAGCCAUAUAUACAUCCUUGCUAGACUUUGAGCCACACAUUUACUUUUUACUGCUUAUGAGCAUUGAGUGUGGUCAAGCUGUGUAGACCCUUAGGAGCUUGUCAUGUGGUUAAAAUCAAGAUUCACUUGCACGUUCACUCACACAUGCUACUUCUACUCCAGAAGUACCAUCCACAUAUAUCCAUCCAUUUCCAUCUCCAGAACCACCCAAAAAUAUUCUACUCCUAAUCCGGGAGAGAAUAGCCAAAAACAUUCUCCUAUUUCUGUUUUUCCCUGUGAAAAAAAAAUGCUCAAGUUAUCUUGGUUACUACCACUUGCUACAUUAUUUCAAGAGAUGAGUGCUCUAAAAAAAACAAAAAAAAAAGAGAAAAAAAAGAUACGAGGAAAUAAAAAGGGGCAAGUGCCCGGAACCUCGAAAGAAAAGAAAAAGUGAGACGAGAGGUAAAAAUGGACAAGUGUCCGACAGUAGAAUUAGGGGUACAAGAUACCCACUUGAGAGAAAAGAAAAAAAAAAUAUAGAGCAUCUCAUUCUCUUCAAAAAGUUUCAAAAGUGCAAGAAAGGUAUGUAUCCCCUCAAAAGAGCAUAAGUAGAAUUAGACUUUCACCAUUGUUAUCACCAUCAUCACCGUACACCAUUCAUUCGCCACACAUGCACAUCUUGAUUUGACUUAUUGACUUGUUCUUUUGGAUCCAUGGUUUGACUAUGCAAUAAAUGUCUUGUAAGUAUGUAUUAGCUGUCUCCCACCUAUGAGCUCCAGAUAUCAAAAGCCUUAUUAGAGUAGGGUGAGAGAGAAGGCAAUGUCACUAUGCCUUAUACCACAAAUACCACAUACUUUGAGAGAAGGCAUAUACCAUUACUACCUUGGUAAGGAUCCAGAAAUACCACAAAAGAGAGACUAGAGAGAGUCAUACAAGGAAUCUCUGAGUUUUAUUUGAAUAUCUGCAAAAACUCCAGAGCUAUAGUUAAUCGAAGAACAAGAGACAUGGUGUUUGACUAGACUGUUCUAUCUUUUAACUACUCAAGACAGAAGUGACGGUUACAAGUCCCAUGGUGAAAGGCAAAUGAGUAAGUUUUAAGUCUUAACAGUUUACUCUAACCAGAGAUGAGAUCUUGUUUAAACGCAUGUGUAUCUUUAAGUUAUGAAACCACUGCAGAAACUCUUGAGUUCAUCUUUGCUCAGGGACGAGCAAAGGUUAAGCUUGGGGGAGCUUGUUGACGGUCCUUAAUGCUCAUAUUUAACCAUCAAUUAAUCAUAGAAAAGGAUCCAAAUGCAACCAACACCUAGACUUAGGGUUUUAUCUGACAGAAUUCCACAAGUUUUGGUGUUUGUCUAUUUCUGCAGGGGGUUAUCAGGAAAUAUGAAAGAAAGGCCCACACGUCGGGUUUACAUAGAGAUAUUAACGUGCCGCACAAUUUUCUAUCAUCUAGAAGACUCCAGAAGCCACGGGACCGAAGCGGAAGCCGAGAGGCCUCAGGGACAGGGCGCCCGCCCUAGUCCUGAGGGCGCCCGCCCACCUCUUUCCACCAAUCAGGGUGAAGUUCGAGGAUCAUGCUCCACCGACCUAAUACUUCAAGGAAAACCACACGAUCAAUGUCGGUUUGAUCCGACGGCCCAGAUUCACUUGAAGGGACUAUAAAACCAGACCCCCUGGCCCCUGGAGAUCAUACCUCUUCUACAGAAUCAAAGUUAGGGUUUCAAUUCUUCAUCCAAGUAGAGAGGAUCCCUCUAGUUCUUCUAGUUCUACCUCUAGUUCAUCUAGAUCUAGUUCUAGUUCAUAUAGUUCUAGUUCUAGUUCUUCUAGUUCUAGUUCUAGUUAGUUCUAGUUGUAAUCUAGAAAAUAGGGAGAGAGAAGAGGAGAGCGGAGGAGGAGCCGGAUCUGUCGGAUCUUCCUUAACAUUAUACUUUUGCAGCAUCUGGUUCGUUCUUCAUCGUUCUCCAGGUUCUUCAAUUCAUAAUUCCUGAGUUCUUUAAUUACUUUUAUUUACAUUCAAGUUAUUUAUUGGAUUCCUGCUUGCAUCAAGUGCUCUAGUCUUUAUAACGCUAGAGUAGUAAUUAAUAGAUUAGACGUGGUGUUUAGUCUUGCAAUUACCUGGAAUUGCACCCAAUCCUGCGGAUUGUUGUGGUAGCCUUAGGGUAGUGACAGCCCUAACGGUCGACGUAUUCCACCACGUUCGGAUCGGUGUUUGUAGGACCGUAGUCGGAGCUUCCUAGCCCCCUUCUCAUCUCUUUCUGUGGUUAGUGUUCUGAUGUCCCGAAAUAGAUAAUCUUGAAGUAAUUCUUGAUUCUUAGAUCAAUUAGAGAACUCUCAGGAAACUUCCUCUCUUCCCACCAAAAAUAAUUAUAUAGUUAUCCUUGGGCGAUCUUGGAUCGUAAUUAGUACACUCACGUUCCCUGUGGAAAAUCGAUACUCUGGAAUACUCCCGGGUGAAGGCUACAUCGGUAUCCGUGCGCUUGCGGAUUUUUCUGUUUGCGUUUAAAAUACCCAACAACAAGUGCGGUAUGAAGUGUGUGAGCUCUACUGCGUAUGAUCAUGGUGUUGUGCAUUCUAUUCCUGAGUCCCUCCUUUUAUAGCUCCAAGGAGAGACCCAGGGUACAUGUAUAGGCGCCAGAAUAAGAAUCGAUAGCAGCAUGGGGCGCUGACCUACUCGAGGCUUCCGUACCGGCAUGGCCUCGAGCCGUCCCGUCUUGAUAGCCUGGUGAUGAUUACGCAUGCCCCUGCAUUCUGCUAUGCGCGCCGUCUUGUGUUGGCUCAACGGUCGCACGCUUGUACGGUAUGGCGGCAGAUCCGGCGGGGUGGUUGUGGUGUUAUCUGUCGACGCCCAAUUCGUCCCCAGGAUGGAACCCCGUUCGGUCGAGGGCCGGACGCGGUGUAAUGUGCCGAUGUCUGGAGCGCUGACCUUGGAUGUCUCGAGGGGGUCCCGAUUAGACGUUCCAUCCUUGUUUCCUGCGUCCUGACACGCCCUGGGUCGUUUGGUGGGAAAGCUGCAAACAGAACGAUGGGACAGAUGCCUUUCCCUAUCACGCCUCCCGUGACCUGUGUGUUAGGUGGGGAAGCGUCAGGCGCAUUUAAUGUCCCGGCUCUCGUGCGCGCGUCAGGCGGCGGACAGUGUCCUUGCGCUCGACGCCUUCUGAUUCGCUCGAGCCUAUUUCCGUAUUCGAUGGUAGUCAGCACUCAACCCCCAAGUGGUUCGCUCGACGUUAUUUCCGUCUUCGAGGCUGCAGCCGUCGAUUGCUGCGCACAUGUGUGACCAGAACGUCGAGUUGAGGGCCUCGACUUGCGUAUGGAUAAUCUUGCUAGGUGCAUCGGUGAGGGUACCCCUUACUGAUACCCUCGACACCAACACUGUCGAAUAAACUUAGCUUCGAUGAGUUUGGUUAUUUCAACCUUAAUAUCAGGAAGAAUAUUAGAGUUACAUCGACGCGCUGGUUGCUAAUAUGGCUGAAAUCGAGACUAAAUAGGCAACUGAUGCUCGACAAUCGAUCGGUCUAAUCUAGGCAUCUCGGUAUAAUCCCAAGCAAAGCAAUCUUUAUAUUCCUUCAAUAAAUCGAUUAAUUGCCGUUUACAUUCAGAAUCUAGCUUAGCACUAAUAAAAGUAGGUCUUGGUCUAUCACCACUUCCUAUAUCUACUUCUAUUAAAUCAUCAGUCGAUGUAAAUCCCUGUCCUAACUUUCCAUCAUCGGCGAACCUAUCCAUUAAAACUCUUCAUCAGAACCGACUGCUUGGAUCGGUGGAAUCUCAUAAUCGGCAACUUUGAGGAAAUCUUUCUCCUAAGCUUCUCCCGAUAUACAUCUAGUUCACUCAUAAGUAUCUGAUUCUGCAGAUGCAAUGUUAUAGGAAGAAUCUCCAAGAACAACUUCAAUUUUGUCGCCUACCCAUUGAACAAGGCAUUGAUGCAUUAUAGAAGGAAUGCAACAGUUGGCAUGAAUCCAAUCUCUCCCCAAUAGCAAAUUGUACGCACCUUUUCCAUUGAUGACAAAGAAAGUCGUCGGCAUGGUCUUGUUGCCGAUAGUCAAUUCAACGCACACAACCCCUUUAGCUGGAGACACAUUACCUUCAAAAUCUUUCAACAUCAUAUCGGUCUUGGUUAAAUCCUGAUCUCCUUUACCAAGCUUAUGAUACAUCACAUAAGGCAUAAUGCUCCAUCAAUAAGUAUUUUCAAAACUGGCUGCCCAUCAACUCUGGUUUUAACAAACAAAGCUUUAAGAUGUUGCCUUUCAUCAUCAGAAGAUUUCUCAAAAAUAGCUGUCAUUGGAUCAAGUGUCAGCUGAGCUAUUUGAUCAGGGAGACUAAUUUCUUCUUCAUCACUAUAGGGUGCAAGAAACUUCAUCGACAACAUGAACACCAUGUUGACAUCUGCCGAUGGUCCUUUCCCUUUGCGGUCUAACUGCUGCCGAUCUUCAGAUUUAGAAGAAUUUAACUCUCUGUAUAAAUCUUCCUGACGCUCCCGCUGCAUCCUCCUCCGCUGCGUCCUUGUCAAUCCAUCUAGACACCAUCGGGGAAGCUUUGUCCUCCAAACUGGCUGAUAACGAAUUUCCUUUGAUUCCACACAAUGAAUGUUUGAAUCUCUACAAAAUAUGAAUUCAUCGGGAACUCGUGCAUUUGCUAUUUCUUCAAGUUCUUCCUGAUUCCUUAGGAAAUGACCAACACGUUCACCAAGACUGUCAUGCACACUAAGCCUGCCCCCUAGCCGAUCGUGAACUGAUGUUCUCCCCCUGAUUGGCUCUGAAACGUCGAUCAUUGUUUUGGAAUCUCCGAUCUGACCGAUCGUACCGAUGAUAACCAUUGCACUCAGGACAGUCUCGAACAGUCGGCAAUUUGAUAUUUUGUUCCCAGCAAUGACAGUCUUCUCGUUGCUUCUCUUCUUGUUGAUGCCGAUACCGAUUCCAAUGAUCUUUAUACCGAUUCCAUUCUUCUCGUUGCUUCUCUUCUUGUUGAUGCCGAUACCGAUCCUCACACUGCUGCCAUGUUUCUCGAUGCCGCCUAUGAGUAAUUACAACAUCAAAGCAGGGAGAGCAUCCAGAGCUCCUAUCCUCCCUUACCAAACCUUUUCCUUUGGCAUCAUUAGUAGUUACUUGAUGCUAGGGAUCCACCGAUGCGUUCUUCUCAGCCGUCUCCGAUGUUAAGACUUUGGUCUUACCUUUGGCAUCUAACAUGUUUGUAGGGAAAGGAUGCUGAUCAAUCUUCAUCAGCUUCUAAGUUUUGGAACUAUCAAACUUGAUUCUUCUAGAUUCUAUAGCUGAUUGCAAUUGCUGCCUAAAUACUUUGCAUUCAUUGGUGCUAUGUGAGGUUGCAUUGCGCCAUUUGCAAUACAUGAUUUUCUUUAGCUCCUCUACCGAUGGAAUUACAUGAUUAGGUGACAAUUUAAUCUGUCCUUCUUGAAGCAAGAAAUCAAAUAUCCUAUCGGCUUUGGUGAUAUCGAAAGAAAUCUUUUCUGGUUCUUUCUGGCCAAAAGGACAAGACAUCGGCUUUUUGUUUUUUACCCACUCUACCAAGGCGAUGACUGGUUCUUCAUCAGAAUCAGAACUCCCUGCCUCAUCAACAAAUGAUUCUUUCUUAUUCUAAGCCUUUCUCGGUUCAAAAGACUUAAUAUCUUGAUCAGAAAUCCUUUGCACCGAAUGACUUAAACUUUCAAACUCUUGAGAAGCAUAUUUAUCUUUGAUGUGUGGCAACAAUCCCUGAAAAGCCAAAUCAGCUAACUGCCGAUCAUCCAGAACCAGACUAUAACAUUUGUUCUUUACAUCUCGCAGCCUCUGCACAAAGCUUUCCACCGAUUCAUCAUUACGUUGUCUCAAUCUUACUAAAUCGGUAAGCUUCUUCUCAUGAACUCCAUAAAAGAAGUAUUUAUGAAACUGCUUCUCUAGAUCGGCCAAAGUAAUGACUGAGUUUGGAGGCAAUGAAAUAAACCAGGUAAAAGCCGAUCCUGACAAAGAAGAUGAAAAUAAACAAACUCUCAAUUCAUCUCAGUUAGUAGUUUCUCCACAUUGAAUGAUAAACUGUUUGACGUGUUCCAUGGUCGAUGUAUCAUCUUGUCCAGAGAACUUAGUAAAAUCUAGCACCUUGUACCGAUUUGGGAGUGGAAUUAAAUCAUAGGCAGGAGGAUACGGUGUCCGAUAAGAAUAAGUGUUAACCUUGGGUUUUAUCCCAAACUGAUCCCUCAUAAACUCUGCUAUCUUAUCGUCCCAAUAGGCAUCGGCAUCUUGCCGAUGUACGGGUUGAGCUUCUGGCACUUGCUGAUAGGCUUCAAUGUGUCACUGGGGUACACGGUCUACAGGAAACAUCACAUUAGCCAUAGCUUGCUGCCCACCGAUCUGUUGAGCAAGAUUCAUUGGCUGAUUUGCCGGCAUCUGAUUCUGAAAACCAACCAGCAUUUGACCUUGUUGGAAUCCUCCAGCCUGAUGAUUCUGCUGUGUUGCAUGCGGGAAGAUUAACUGUCCUAUCCAACCACUGUUAGUGUUCAUUGGCCCAAAAUUUGCCGAUGGCUGGUAAUUGGUUGUCAUUGCUAGAUUAACAUAACCUGCCUGAGACAUCAACCUUUACUGUGUCAGCAAUGGAUUUGCCGAUGAAUUUGCAUUAGGCGUCUGGAAUGUGGGCGCCUAAAAAUUCCCCGUAACUAGCCUCGCAGUGGUUGUUGUAGAAUACUGAGGAAUUUGAGUCAUCGGCGAGACUGGAGGCACCGAUGUUAUGGGAGCUUUCCGUGCUAAGUGAGUUGCCUGAGAGGUUCCAGAACUAUUUGCAAAAAACUCUGGAGGCAUACCAUAUCCCCACCAGUUGGGAGGAACCUAGCAAUUCUGAAAUACAGACCCUGACAUUGCCGAUGCCGAUAGAUCUGUGUUGAGCUGAACCCGUCCCCCUGAGGUCAUUGGAUCAGAUCUCAUCGGUGUAGAUUGCUCAUUAGUUAAUCCCAAUGUGCUCGGAGGAGAAGUAGCUUUUGUACCCACAACGGCUAGAGGAGCCGAUGGAGCUGCGACCGAUGACAAUCCUAGGUGAUGAUUGGCCGGGCCAGCAUAAAGUGGUGGUGUCUGUCCUUCUUUAAAAGUUCGAACCACAACAAUGUAAACAGUAUUGGACAACACAUUGGAGUGAUUAAUCAAAGCAUGAUUAAUAGCAGUUGUUGGGCAUUCUUAACGUCAUUACCAAAAGUAGACUUAGUUUUCUAAUUAUGAUAACGGCGCCAAAAAUGCCGAACCUAUCCCUCAUGCCACUUAAGCCAAUUUGUCAUCCCUAGCAUGACAUGAGAGACGCGGUAUUGAAAUAUGCAAUUGCUCUUCUGAAUGAAUAAUAAAUGAGAUCUGCAAGCGCACAGAUUAAUACCGUAUGUAGCAUUUUAACUGGGAAGUAUUCUAGGUAUCGUUAUUUAUAUUUUUACCACUGGGAAGGGAUCGCUAAUCAUCAAUGUUGAUUAUGGAAUGGAAUAUAGAAUUGAGUAUAUAUCAUUGUAUUUGUAAUAGAGAGCAUUAUCUAUCUCUUUCAUACAGGGAUAAAUGUCACAUAAAAUAUAGAUAAAGUAUGAAUGGUGACAAAGAUAAUUAAUCUGAUCAGCAUAACUAGCGACAUAUAAUAAUGAUAAGCACCUCAAUAGAUAUUCUAGCAAGUCAUUAGCAUGGAAUUAGGAUGAACUACAAGAAUAUUUCCUAAGUUAUUCUUAACUAUAAAGUCUAGCAUAUCAUAGUUAGUGCAAUUAUACUUGGCAAUCAUUGCGAGACAGGACUACGCCCAUGCAUAGUGAUAUUAUCAAGGAAAAUGAGAAACAUAGCAAUCACUCCCCUAUAAUAAUGUUGUUCUGCCUGCCCUAUACAUGAGAGGGGGACUAUAUAAGAAUCAAAGGAGCUGUCACUACCACGAACUACCCUGCGAUCCCGCAUAUAGGGUACAAUCGUAGAUAAAUACGGUAUAGGCACCACGCCUACACAAUACUUAUCAUCUACCCACUAUACACAUGGAUAAACGCUAUACGAUCCUAAACAUGUAUAUAAUUCUAAUCUAACUAAGCCAAGCAUAUAACUAUGAUAAACUAAGAACAAUAUAAUUGCAAAUAUAAACAAGUAGAGCAAAGUCAUAAUCAAUAUAUUGAAGUAGAACAAAGUCAUAUCCAUAAUAUUGAAGAACAAUGAUGAACAAAUAAAGGACAGUAGAGGAAUUACCAAGAAUCCUCUUGACAGAUCUAGAAACCAAUCGAAGAUUGACUCCUUCUAGUUCUAAUCCUAUGUAGCUAUGCUAAACUAGAGAUCUAAUGAUGUGGUGGCUCUAGGGCUUGAUCAGAGGCUUCUUCUCUCGAGAUGGAUAAAUGAACUAGGGUUCAGAGGUCCUCUCCUCCAGGGGCCAGGGGGUCUGCUUAUAUAGUCCUUCCAAUUGAAUGUGGGCCGUCGGAUCAAACCGACAUUAAUCGCACGGUUUUCCUUAAUCCCUUAGGUCGUUGGAGCAUGAUCCGCGAGGCAGAGCCUGAUUGGCUCUCAGGUCAGGGCGGGCGCCCAAGGGAGGAGGGCGGGCGCCCUGCCCCCGGGUCCGCUCGGUCUCCCGCUCAUUCCCGUUGCUUCUGAACUCUUCUAGAUGUUAGAUAAUUGCGCCGCACGUUAAUAUCUCUAUGUAAACCCGACGUGUGGGCCUUUCCUCCAUAUUUCCUGAUAACCCCCUGCAGAAAUAGACAAACACCAAAACUCGUGGAAUUCUGUCAGAUAAAACACUAAGUCUAGGUGUCGGUUGCAUAUGGAUUCUUUUCUUUGUUUAUUUGUUGAUUAUAUUUGAUACUUAAGGACCGUCAACAAACUCCCCCAAGCAUACCUCUUGCUCGUCCCUGAGCAAGGAUAGACUCAGUGAUGGAUCAGAAGCUGCUGUAAUGCCUUUAAAAGUUGACGGUACACAUGCUUUCAAAUGAGGUCUCAUCUCUGAGUUAGAGUAAACUGUCAAGACUUAAAAUUUACUCAUUUUACCUUUUACCAUGGGACUUGUAACCGUCACUUCUGUCUUGAGGAGUUAAAAGAUAGAACGGUCUAGUCAAGCGCCAUGUAUCUUAUUCUUGAUCAGCUAUAGCUCUGGAGUUUUUGCAGAUUUUCAAAUAAAACUCAAAGAUUCCUUGUAUGACUCUCUCAGAUCUCUCUUUUGUGGUAUUUCUGGAUCCUUACCAAGGCAGUGAUGGUAUAUGCCUUCUCUCAAAGUAUGUAGUAUUUGUGGUAUGAAGCAUAGUAAACUUGCCUUCACUCUCACGCUACUUUAAUAAGACUUUUGAUAUCUGGAGCUCAUAGGUGGAAGAUAAAGUAUACAUACUUACAAGACAUUUAUUGCAUAGUCAAACCAUGGAUCCAGAGAAACAAGUCAAUAAGUCAAAUCAAGAUGUGCAUGUGUGGCGAAUGAAUGGUGUAUGGUGAUGAUGGUGAUAACAAUGGUGAAAGUCUAAUUCUACUUUUGCUCUUUUGAGGGGAUACAUACCUUUCUUGCUCUUUGAAACUUUUGAGGAGAAUGAGAUGCUCUACAUUUUCUUUUUCUUUCCUCUCAGGUGGGUACCUUGUACCCCUAAUUCUACUGUCGGACACUUGUCCAUUUUUACCUCUCGUCUUACUUUUUCUUUUCUUUCGAGGUUCCGGGCACUUGCCCCUUUUUAUUUCCUCGUAUCCUUUCUUUUUUUCUUUUUUUUAGAGCACUCAUCUCCUGAAAUAAUAUAGCAAGUGGUAGUAACCAAGAUAUCUUGAGCAUUUAUUUCAAAGGGAAAAACAGGAAUAGGAGAAUGUUUUUGGAUAUUCUCUCCCGGAUUAGGAGUAGAAUACUUUUGGGUGGUUCUAGAGAUGGAAAUGGGUGGAUAUAUGUGGACCGCAUGACAAGCUCCUAAGGGUCUACACAGCUUGACCACACUCAAUGCUCAUAAGUAGUAAAAAGUAAAUGUGUGGCUCAAAGUCUAGCAAGCAUGUAUAUAUGGUUGUGGUAGGAAUUUAAACUCUCAUCAUACAGGAACUCAUCAUGUGAUAUUUUAAAGAUUUUCAAAGAUAAAAUUCUCCAGAUUUCUAGCAUCUCUAUGAACAGAUAAACAGCAGCUCAACCUUCUCAUAUCAUAUCCGUUAACAACUUAGACUUUAGAUCAAGUUCUCUUCCCACAAGUUUAGGUUUAGAGCAAGAUUUAAAUUAUAACAGUUACGUCUAAACUAGAGAGAGAACUCAAAUUUGAAAAUUAGGCAAAGCAACUAUUCAUCAUAUCCAUGCUAGAGUUUUAUUAAGAUUUAGUUUAGCAUAGCCACUUAUUUAUUUAUUAAGCACACUAAGCAAAAUAUAUAUAUAAGCAAAAAAUCUUUAUUUGGUUUUUCAUGGUUAUGUAUAUUUUUUUAGUAUAGUAUAAGUAUAAAUAUAGACAGAAAUACUUAGCAGGAUAAAUCGGGGUGCUCUCCGCCAAGUUGGAUUUUGACGUAAUUUCUUCUGAUGUAGCUAGCAGGUGGUGGAGGUGUAUUUGAAAGUCGGCAGGACCCUGACAGCGAUUAGAUUGUCCUCCGUCUGCUAGUCUUCUUGAUUCUUGAAUUCUGUGGAGCUCAAAUAGACAACAAAGCUUUGUGGAACUGAUUAGGUGUUAGCAUAUAUAUCUCACCUUUAUCAUGUUGAGCCUCCUCAAUAAUUGCUACUUCCUUUGGUAGGAUCACAAUUUUAUUUUUAUAUUUUCAUUUUUUAUAGAAUAGAAGAAUAUUUUUAUUUUAUUAUUUUUUCUGCCACCACAGUGAAUGUACUUAUGGGUUUUAUGCCACUUGUAUACUCACAUGGGGCUUACUGGUUUUAACAUUUUUUUAUUUUUCUUUUUAAGAUGAUAUGAACCUAAUUAACUAAGUAAAAUAUUUUAAAUAAUUGAAUGGAAAAGGAUAACUACCAAGUUUACCUCUUGGCAAGGCGUUCGAUGUUUUUAAGUCCUCCGAACGGGACUCUCCGUUUUCUCAGUCGUCCUGGGAUUCGUUGGAUGGCAUAGUUGGUGGUUCCGGCGGCGCCUCCUCUCCAUGUAUAACUAUCUUCUCUCUCCACACCUGACUCGGUGCUAUGGUCUCCUUAGGAUAGUUCUGUUCAAGCUGUAUGUCUUCAGACCUUACCACUUCUUCGUAGUCUGCCCAUCCGUCCUUGAUGAUUUGCCUCCUAUGGUUGCGGUUGCGUCGUCUUCUUCUUGUACUGACCUGCUUAGAUUCUUCAACUAUAUAGUUAGGGUUAGUAAAAUAGCGGCAUACUUCUCAGAGGGAAAGUGCAUGUGGACUUCUCCGGUUCCAAUGUAGAUGAUUGCUUCAACGGUGCUGAGGAACGGUCUCCCAAGGAUGAUGGGUGGAUCGUACUCGUCUUCUCCUAUGUCAAUAACCUGAAAGUCUGUAUGGAAAAAAUGAUCAUCUAUUUUAACAGGGACAUCAGUUACUAUACCUUCCACCUUUUGAAAUGUCUGAUCUGCCAUCUGGAGCUGAAUGUAUAUCGGUUUUAGAGGCACGGUUCCGAACAGGAGCUGAUAGGUGACUGCAGCCAUUAUGUUGACACCUGAUCCAGUGUCGCAAAGUGUCUUGUAGAAGUUGUACCCAUUGAUGGAGCAAUGGAUGCUUGGCAUACCUGGGUCAUCCUUCUUGGUCAGGAAUGGUGACUUAAGUCGACGAUCUUGACCUCCUUGAACUGCAGUAACCAUCUUAGCUGACUCGUUCCACACUUGCUUGUUCCUGUUCCUCCUGUUGGUCCUCUUCCUUGGUUCUUGUUGGGAUUGCUCUGGGAUUUGUGUAGUCUUGUUCUUGAAGGAAAACGUCUCCUUCCUUCCUUUGAUGUAGGAACUGAUCUUGGCAGCACUAGCAUAGAUGACAGCUCCCGAGGUGUUUAGGAAUAGCCUCCCUAAGAUGACGGGUGCUCUCUCAUCAUUACCGGUCUCUAUCACCUUGAAGUCUGCUGGGGCGUACAAGGUACCAACUCGGACGUAGAGGUUCUUCAGUAUUCCCUUCGGAAAACUUAACGUCCGAUCUGCAAGCUGCAGACACAUGGUUGUUUCUAGUAAAGGAUAUGUAAAGAAUUUUUCAUAGAGUACCCUGGGCAUAAUGUUGACACUAGAGCUAAAGUCGCAGAGUGCUUCUAGGAAGUCCACCAUGUCGAUGGAGAUGGGGAUGACGGGGCGUCCUGGAUCGCCUCUCUUGACCGGCAGAAGGUUAGUAGUUACUUCUGCAGCGGGGUUACUCCAGUAGUUACCUGUAUCAAACAUGUCUACAAGAUUUGCAGAUUCUAAUCCUUCCGGUUGUGAUGGUAUACCGGGGUUAGUAGCAGGAAUAGCAGCAGCUAGUUGAUUUAACUGAGAUUUAAUUAUUUUAUUAAAGCUAAUUUGAUUCUUGAUGGUAGUAGAGAAAUUAUCCAUUCUAUUAUUUAUAUUUUCUAGCAUUUUAUCAUUAGAUGCCAAUUUCUUAGAUAGGUUAUCCAUUAGCUUUCCUUGAUUAGACACUAACUCUCUCACAGGUGGAAAAUUAUUAUUAUUAUUGUAAGAAUUGUUACCUUGAUAAUUACCUGAGUAGUUAGGCCUCUUUUGAUUCCAACCUUGAUUUUGUUGAGGACAGUUGUAGUAGUAGUUGUUGUUGUUAUU